CGGAUUGCAGGCUGCAACCCGCCUGCAUGAAGCCGGAAUCGCUAGUAAUCGCAGAUCAGAAUGCUGCGGUGAAUACGUUCCCGGGUCUUGUACACACCGCCCGUCACACCAUGGGAGUCGAUAACGCCCGAAGUCAGUGACCCAACCGAGAGGAGGGAGCUGCCGAAGGCGGGAUGGAUAACUGGGGUGAAGUCGUAACAAGGUAAC
rnacentral:rRNA from 1 species